CAGCCGCCACGGUAAUACGGAGGAUCCAAGCGUUAUCCGGAAUCAUUGGUUUUAAAGGGUCCGUAGGCGGUCUUGUAAGUCAGUGGUGAAAGCCCAUCGCUCAACGGUGGAACGGCCAUUGAUACUGCAGGACUUGAAUUAUUGGGAAGUAACUAGAAUAUGUAGUGUAGCGGUGAAAUGCUUAGAGAUUACAUGGAAUACCAAUUGCGAAGGCAGGUUACUACCAAUUGAUUGACGCUGAUGGACGAAAGCGUGGGUAGCGAACAGGAUUAGAUACCCCGGUAGUCCCUGUCUCUUAUAC
rnacentral:rRNA from 1 species